UAGUGGCGAACGGGUGAGUAACACGUGGGCAAUCUGCCCUUCACUCUGGGACAAGCCCUGGAAACGGGGUCUAAUACCGGAUACCACUCCUGCCCGCAUGGGUAGGGGUUGAAAGCUCCGGCGGUGAAGGAUGAGCCCGCGGCCUAUCAGCUUGUUGGUGGGGUAAUGGCCCACCAAGGCGACGACGGGUAGCCGGCCUGAGAGGGCGACCGGCCACACUGGGACUGAGACACGGCCCAGACUCCUACGGGAGGCAGCAGUGGGGAAUAUUGCACAAUGGGCGAAAGCCUGAUGCAGCGACGCCGCGUGAGGGAUGACGGCCUUCGGGUUGUAAACCUCUUUCAGCAGGGAAGAAGCGAAAGUGACGGUACCUGCAGAAGAAGCGCCGGCUAACUACGUGCCAGCAGCCGCGGUAAUACGUAGGGCGCAAGCGUUGUCCGGAAUUAUUGGGCGUAAAGAGCUCGUAGGCGGCUUGUCACGUCGGAUGUGAAAGCCCGAGGCUUAACCUCGGGUCUGCAUUCGAUACGGGCUAGCUAGAGUGUGGUAG
rnacentral:rRNA from 1 species